GGUUAAGCGACUAAGCGUACACGGUGGAUGCCCUGGCAGUCAGAGGCGAUGAAGGACGUGCUAAUCUGCGAUAAGCGUCGGUAAGGUGAUAUGAACCGUUAUAACCGGCGAUUUCCGAAUGGGGAAACCCAGUGUGUUUCGACACACUAUCAUUAACUGAAUCCAUAGGUUAAUGAGGCGAACCGGGGGAACUGAAACAUCUAAGUACCCCGAGGAAAAGAAAUCAACCGAGAUUCCCCCAGUAGCGGCGAGCGAACGGGGAGCAGCCCAGAGCCUGAAUCAGUAUGUGUGUUAGUGGAAGCGUCUGGAAAGGCGCGCGAUACAGGGUGACAGCCCCGUACACAAAAAUGCACAUGCUGUGAGCUCGAUGAGUAGGGCGGGACACGUGGUAUCCUGUCUGAAUAUGGGGGGACCAUCCUCCAAGGCUAAAUACUCCUGACUGACCGAUAGUGAACCAGUACCGUGAGGGAAAGGCGAAAAGAACCCCGGCGAGGGGAGUGAAAAAGAACCUGAAACCGUGUACGUACAAGCAGUGGGAGC
rnacentral:rRNA from 1 species